rnacentral:rRNA from 1 species
AUACGGAGGGUGCAAGCGUUAUCCGGAAUCAUUGGGUUUAAAGGGUCCGUAGGCGGACUAAUAAGUCAGGGGUGAAAUCCCACAGCUUAACUGUGGAGCUGCCUUUGAUACUGUUAGUCUUGAGUUAUAUGGAAGUAGAUAGAAUGUGUAGUGUAGCGGUGAAAUGCUUAGAGAUUACACAGAAUACCGAUUGCGAAGGCAGUCUACUACAUAUAUACUGACGCUAAUGGACGAAAGCGUGGGGAGCGAACAGGAUUAGAAACCCUUGUAGUCC